GAGGAAACAAGCCUGACUAUGGAAAGGUGUCCCUUUUCUGCCUUUUUCGUGUGGACAGACAAACUGUGAGUGAAAUACCUCCACAGCAAGAGUAAAGAUACCUGGAAAUCUCUUCUUUUAUGACCAUGUGCAGGGAAGCAAAAGGUCUGUGGAGGAUGAGUUGAAAGGUGCUGGAUGGCUGUGCCAGUGGUGCCUCCAGUGUGUCUCCUUGGCCCUGGAGACAGGGGUUCACCUGGAGGUUGAGAGAGGAGGUUCCUGUAAGCCUGGAACUGUGGCAGAUUCCAGGAAUCUGGUGUUGCUCCUCCCUGUAUGCUGUUAAAUAAAAGACCAUUAAGGAAACCAUCAUUACUGCAG